CUGGCGGAUGCCAGCCUCCACAUAAGGACCCUGACUACCCUGAGCCACGCUUGCUGGAGAGGCCACAGUGGGCCCAGCUGAGCCCCCAGCCGACAGCCAGCAUCAAGUACCAGGCAUCUGAGGAGGAGAUUGAAGUUGGGGUAAUGGAGCCUUGUCUGGGCCAUGGACCAUGGGAGUGAAGAAAGCCAGGUUGCCCAGAGAAGCAGGAAAGCGUAAAAGAAGUCUGUGGAAAUGAACAGAGCAAAUCAAACCGUGGGAAUAGGGAGCAGGCAACCUCGAUCGAUGCCUGGUACUUCAGUUACCAGUUCCAUUCCUUCAUGAGGUCACCUGAAACCUAUAUGCAAGAAGUCAUGUCAGGCAGGCCCAAGGGCAACCUCUGGCCAACAGCCCACUAGGAAUGAACACCCUCAAACCAAAAGCCCAGAGGAACUGAAUGUUGCCAACAACCAUGUGAGCUUGAAGGCAGAUUCUUCUCUUGUUGAUCCUGCAGAUGAGACAACAGCCCAGGCCAACACCUAGACUGCAUCCUCCCAAGAGACCCUAAAGCAAAAAACCCA